rnacentral:rRNA from 1 species
AUUGAACGCUGGCGGCAUGCCUUACACAUGCAAGUCGAACGGCAGCACGGGUGCUUGCACCUGGUGGCGAGUGGCGAACGGGUGAGUAAUACAUCGGAACGUACCUUAUCGUGGGGGAUAACAAAUUGAAAAAUUUGCUAAUACCGCAUAAUCCUCUGAGGAGGAAAGCGGGGGAUUUGUAAGAACCUCGUCCGAUUAGAGCGGCUGAUGGCUGAUUAGCUAGUUGGUGUGGUAAAGGCCCACCAAGGCAACGAUCGGUAGCAGGUCUGAGAGGAUGAUCUGCCACACUGGAACUGAGAAACGGUCCAGACUCCUACGGGAGGCAGCAGUGGGGAAUUUUGGACAAUGGACGAAAGUCUGAUCCAGCAAUGCCGCGUGAGUGAAGAAGGCCUUCGGGUUGUAAAGCUCUUUUGUCAGUGAAGAAAACUUUAAUAAUAACACUAUUAAAGCAUGACGGUAACUGAAGAAUAAGGACCGGCUAACUACGUGCCAGCCGCCGCCGUAA